GACGAACGCUGGCGGCGUGCUUAACACAUGCGAGUCGAACGGAAAGGCCCUGCUUUUGUGGGGUGCUCGAGUGGCGAACGGGUGAGUAACACGUGAGUAACCUGCCCUUGACUUUGGGAUAACUUCAGGAAACUGGGGCUAAUACCGGAUAGGAGCUCCUGCUGCAUGGUGGGGGUUGGAAAGUUUCGGCGGUUGGGGAUGGACUCGCGGCUUAUCAGCUUGUUGGUGGGGUAGUGGCUUACCAAGGCUUUGACGGGUAGCCGGCCUGAGAGGGUGACCGGUCAGAUGGUGAAGGAGAGACGGCACCGCAUGAGAGGGGUGGGGGAGGUGGGGAAUAAUGAGCGCGGAGCGGAAGCCGGAGGCAGCAGGGCGGGGGGUGGGAUGCCGGCAUGUGGGUACUCGACGGCUUUCGGAUGGGAGGAAGGGAGAGAGAAGGGAGUAGGUAAAGAAGAAGCGGAGAACUACGGGCCGGGAGCAGGGGUAAUGGAGGAAAGCGCACACGUCUAAC
rnacentral:rRNA from 1 species